CGCGAAGCCAGGGGGCGGGGAAGAAGGGGGACGUGUACCCCUCCCUCAUUCACGGUACCACCGCGAGGGGGAGUGGGGGGCUACAAGGGGGCGGAGAGAAGAGUCCAGACGUCCCACAUCCUGAGGGCGAGUUUCAGCCUCGUGGAGGGCAGCGAAAGUAAUUGCAUGGAUCAGGAAAAUCUUGCAAUCGGAAAACAGCAGCGUCCCCGUAAUUUCAAUAUAGGUACAUUUACCUGAACUCAUCACCUUCCCACCCCCAUCCCAUCGACUCUGUGCUGUAUCCUGAACCGGCUGACAGAACAAUGAUGUAGACUUGACUUGUUUUCGCCAACCUGGAAUGAAGCAAAGCUCUUGUGCACCCAAGAUCUGCUCUCUGUUGUAAAUCCUGUUCAGACCUGGUCUAAUUGGUUUGAAUAAAUAAAGAACCGGAAUCUCUCUCAUCCAAACUAGUUGCCAGCAUAUUUUUAAGGCCACCUCCCUUCAAAUUUAAAAGGAAGUGUUGAAUGUAAUGUCACUAUAAAUUAAAAGCCCUGGAAAUU
rnacentral:lncRNA from 1 species